rnacentral:pre_miRNA from 14 species
CUGCUAUUAUUCAAGGGUCUUCGGACCACGCCUUCAGUUGCCUCGUGAUCCGCCGAAUCUGUAAUGGACGAAUCACAGUCAACUGUUGGCACGGUCCUUGAAGUUCACCAUUUUUGAAGGU